rnacentral:misc_RNA from 1 species
GUGAAUCAUCGAAUUUUUGAACGCAAAUUGCACUCUCUGGCAUUCCGGAGAGUAUGCCUGUUUGAGGGUCAGUUUAAAUAAAAAUCGAGGUGUUGCUUUUUUGUGACCCAUCGGAAUUGGGUUAUCUUUGAUCUUUUAAAAGGUUUAAGUGAUCUAAAAUUGAUACCUUGUGCAUCUCAGACGUAUAUAAGAAUAUUUUUCUAUUUGUUCGGAGUUGCCAACUUUUAUUAGGCAUGACAAUGUUGUUUGUGGUAUUGUACCUAUAAUAUACUCACAUUUUGAACUAUAAUCAGGUAGGAGG